UACGUAGGCAGCAAGCGUUGUUCGGAGUUACUGGGCGUAAAGGGUGCGUAGGCGGUUGUUUAAGUUUGGUGUGAAAUCUCCCGGCUCAACUGGGAGGGUGCGCCGAAUACUGAAUGACUCGAGUGCGGGAGAGGAGAGUGGAAUUCCUGGUGUAGCGGUGAAAUGCGUAGAUAUCGGAAGGAACACCAGUGGCGAAGGCGGCCGCCUGGACAAAAACUGACAACUGAAACACGAAAGCGUGGG
rnacentral:rRNA from 1 species